UGCAUUCACUAUUUGUAAGUCGCUCUGGAUAAGAGCGUCUGCUAAAUGACUAAAA
rfam:Salmo salar isolate Sally breed double haploid chromosome ssa29, whole genome shotgun sequence.